rnacentral:lncRNA from 1 species
AUGAUUUUAGGUGGAGACACAGAGGUUGGGUUCACAGCUUUAUUAGGGCAUCGCAGGAGGGGUCCCUGGGGGGGGGUUACACCCUUGACACCCCCCCCAUGGGUGGCAGAGUCCCCUGGGGGGGACUGGGGGGAUUCGUCCCCACAAAGGCUCCGCGGCCAUCCUGGGGGGCUCCUUUUUGGGGCCUCAGGAGGGGUCGUGACCUCCCAGUCCCCCCCAGUCUCUUCCAGUCCCUCCCAGUUUCCCCUGGACCCUCCCCAGCGCUGUCCGCUCCGCAAGUUCCUGGUGCUGGUUGCAGCCCCUGAUGUGGCUCCUGGGGACAGGGGGACAGGGAUUGUCCCUGUCCCCAUCCUGCCCCUGUCCCUGACCCCAUCCCUGUCCCCAACCUCAUUCCUGUCUGUCCCCAGCCUGUCCCCAUCCCCGUCCCCAUCCUGUCCCUGUCCCCAUCCUGUCCCCAUUCUCUGUCCCUGUCCCCAUCCUGUCCCUGUCCCCAUCCUGUCCCUGUCCCCAUCCUGUCCCCAUUUCUGUCCCUGUCCCCAUUCCCGUCCCUGUCCCCAUCCUUUCCCUGUCCCCAUCCUCUCCCUGUCCCCAUCCCAUCCCUGUCCCCAUCCUCUCCCAG